CUCACGGACGAAAUCAGUGAUCCUAUGCUGCCAAGAAAAGCAUCGACGCGAGGUUCCAGUCACCCGUACCCCAAACCGACUCAGGUGGUCAGGUAGAGAAUACCAAGGAGAUCGAGAGAAUCGUGGUUAAGGAACUCGGCAAAAUGCCCCCGUAACUUCGGGAGAAGGGGGGCCUGAGGCGUGAAGGGAUUUACUCCUGGAGCGUUUGAAGGCCGCAGAGACCAGUGGGAAGCGACUGUUUACUAAAAACACAGGUCCGUGCUAAGUCGCAAGACGAUGUAUACGGACUGACGCCUGCCCGGUGCUGGAAGGUUAAGAGGAACGGUUAGCCGCAAGGCGAAGCUGAGAAUUUAAGCCCCAGUAAACGGCGGUGGUAACUAUAACCAUCCUAAGGUAGCGAAAUUCCUUGUCGGGUAAGUUCCGACCUGCACGAAUGGCGUAACGACUUCCCAGCUGUCUCAACCGCGAACUCGGCGAAAUUGCACUACGAGUAAAGAUGCUCGUUACGCGCAGAAGGACGGAAAGACCCCGUGACCUUUACUAUAGCUUUGUAUUGGUGUUCGGUGUGGCUUGUGUAGGAUAGGUGGGAGACUGUGAAGCUUGGACGCUAGUUCAGGUGGAGUCAUUGUUGAAAUACCACUCUGGUCACUCUGGAUAUCUAACUUCGGACCGUAAUCCGGUUCAGGGACAGUGCAUGGUGGGUAGUUUAACUGGGGCGGUUGCCUCCCAAAAAGUAACGGAGGCGCCCAAAGGUUCCCUCAACCUGGUUGGCAAUCAGGUGUCGAGUGUAAGUGCACAAGGGAGCUUGACUGUGAGAGUGACAACUCGAGCAGGGACGAAAGUCGGGACUAGUGAUCCGGCAGUGGCUUGUGGAAGCGCUGUCGCUCAACGGAUAAAAGGUACCUCGGGGAUAACAGGCUGAUCUUGCCCAAGAGUCCAUAUCGACGGCAUGGUUUGGCACCUCGAUGUCGGCUCGUCGCAUCCUGGGGCUGGAGUAGGUCCCAAGGGUUGGGCUGUUCGCCCAUUAAAGCGGUACGCGAGCUGGGUUUAGAACGUCGUGAGACAGUUCGGUCCCUAUCCUCUGCGCGCGCAGGAAAUUUGAGAAGAGCUAUCCCUAGUACGAGAGGACCGGGAUGGACGAACCUCUGGUGUGUCAGUUGUUCCGCCAGGAGCACCGCUGAUUAGCUACGUUCGGAACGGAUAACCGCUGAAAGCAUCUAAGCGGGAAGCCGGCUUCAAGAUGAGAUUUCCAUGACUUCGGUCGAGAGGCUCCCAGCUAGACUACUGGGUUGAUAGGCGGGAUGUGGAAGCGAGGACUAAAGACUCGUGGAGCUGACCCGUACUAAUAAGCCGAUAAA
rnacentral:rRNA from 1 species